rnacentral:rRNA from 1 species
UCCAGACUCCUACGGGAGGCAGCAGUGAGGAAUAUUGGUCAAUGGGCGGAAGCCUGAACCAGCCAAGUCGCGUGAGGGAUGACGGCCCUACGGGUUGUAAACCUCUUUUGUCGGGGAGCAAAUUCCGUUACGUGUAACGGAGUCGAGAGUACCCGAAGAAAAAGCAUCGGCUAACUCCGUGCCAGCAGCCGCGGUAAUACGGAGGAUCCGAGCGUUAUCCGGAUUUAUUGGGUUUAAAGGGAGCGUAGAUGGGUUGUUAAGUCAGUUGUGAAAGUUUGCGGCUCAACCGUAAAAUUGCAAUUGAUACUGGCAGUCUUGAGUACAGUUGAGGUAAGCGGAAUUCGUGGUGUAGCGGUGAAAUGCUUAGAUAUCACGAAGAACCCCGAUUGCGAAGGCAGCUUACUAAACUGUGACUGACAUUGAUGCUCGAAAGUGUGGGUAUCAAACAGGAUUAGAUACCCCCGUA